rnacentral:rRNA from 1 species
UACGUAGGCAGCGAGCGUUGUUCGGAGUUACUGGGCGUAAAGGGUGUGUAGGCGGUUGUUUAAGUUUGGUGCGAAAUCUCCCGGCUCAACUGGGAGGGUGCGCCGAAUACUGAAUGACUUGGAGUGCGGGAGAGGUGAGUGGAAUUCCUGGUGUAGCGGUGAAAUGCGUAGAGAUCGGGAGGAACACCAGAGGCGAAGGCGGCGACCUGGACAAGUACUGACACUCAACUACGAAAGCGUGGGGAGCAAACAGG